rnacentral:rRNA from 1 species
UAGGGAAUCUUCGGCAAUGGGGGGAACCCUGACCGAGCAACGCCGCGUGAGUGAAGAAGGUUUUCGGAUCGUAAAGCUCUGUUGUUAAGGAAGAACGAGUGUGAGAAUGGAAAGUUCAUACUGUGACGGUACUUAACCAGAAAGGGACGGCUGACUACGUGCCAGCAGCCGCGGUAAUACGUAGGUCCCGAGCGUUGUCCGGAUUUAUUGGGCGUAAAGCGAGCGCAGGCGGUUAGAUAAGUCUGAAGUUAAAGGCAGUGGCUCAACCAUUGUAGGCUUUGGAAACUGUUUAACUUGAGUGCAGAAGGGGAGGGUGGAAUUCCAUGUGUAGCGGUGAAAUGCGUAGAUAUAUGGAGGAACACCGGUGGCGAAAGCGGCUCUCUGGUCUGUAACUGACGCUGAGGCUCGAAAGCGUGGGGAGCGAACAGG